AUAAAGACGUUGAAGGAGACAAGUAACGUUACCAAGUCAUUGUUAGGGAGAGGUUACCUUAGACUGCAAGUAACCUUAGUGAUACGUAAUGCGAACAUUUCAGCUCUGGAGUCGCUGUCGGGAUUUUGUAUAAUGAAAGACAGAUCGGUGUGAAGCCGUUAUUGGAAUGAAGUGGAUAGCUUAUUUAGCUGUCUAUUAGGGUGGUACCGCGUGAUUAUAACCUCGUCCCUUUG
rnacentral:ncRNA from 1 species